CAAAAGAGAUGACACUGGAAACAGCAAAACUAGCUACUUAGAACCAGAGAUGGUCCAAAAUGUAGCCUAAUAAAAAAACGUAGAAAAGAGGGAGACAAAAAACUAAAAAGGAACCACAUACUUUUAUUAUGCUUUUGCUAGCUAUAUGUUUACCAUCUUCCCAUCUCUCUUAUCUGUACGCAAUCCUCAACCUUGAAGAGACGAGGAAGAACGACACAAGAUGUGUAUAUAUAUACAUACAUAGCCUAAGAAUUAAACAAGUACAGAUGAAGAUUACAAGAAGCUACGGUCUGUGGAGAGAAGGGUCAUAUAUUUGUAUACUCUCUUGUCGUGUACCUGCAGCAGUUGAAGCUGCCAGCAUGAUCUGAGUUUACCUUCAAAUAAUGGUAAGAACAGAUCAUGUGGCUGCUUCACCUGUUGAAUGGAAGCAUAUAGAAACCCUAAUUUGCUUUCAGUUCCUCCAGAAGAAUCUCAUCCGGUUCAUAGAACCCUAGAAAAGUUUUUCACAUAAAUAUAUGCAUGUUUUCUGGAUGGCUGGAUUGUUGUAUUCCUGUGUUGGCUAAAUCUGGGGAUUACAUUUGAAUCGGCAUAUGUUGCUUGGUUUUUUCAAAAAGAAGAGGAGAGGCUAAGGAUGUUGGCAUAUGCUCAGGAUUCAAGUGUGACAGUAACACGUUUUAAUUUGGUGCGUCCUGUACUACCUUGGGGUUGGAGACUCUUUUUUUUUUUUUUUUUUUAUAAAUAUUUUCUCUAGUCACCUAAAACUGUUUCUUUUGUUGCUGUUGUUCAUUUUUUUCUAUUGCAUAUGCAAUUAUGUGUUGGUUUUGAUUUGCCUUCUAAUUACCUUCUCAUCAGUACCAUAUAUUGUUUUAUAUGCAUUAUGCACCUGAUAAAUCGGGAGUUCCCAACUUCCAGAUCUACAAAAUUUGAAUAUAGAUGUGCACAAUUAAUUAGACAUUGGAUUAAUUGUUCCUCUCUUCCCCCAUCCAAUCUCGUAUAUGUCGAUCUCUUGUACCUUACCCACAUAUUGUCCAUCAAUAAAUACAGAUGAUCAUGAUCUCA